UGUGUGCUUGGCAUUUCUGAGGGCACAUGAGACAGCAGGUGGAAAUGCCUUGGCAUGGCAGAAUCUGGAGGAUCUCUUCUCUCCUCGAAGUCCGGAGGUGCUGGAUGAAGGCCAGGAAGCUCUGGACAGCCUCGGCCUUGGACAGGUUUUCAGGCUCCAGGUUCUUUCUGAUGGACUUCCAGUGCUCCGCCAGCUGCAAAGCACAGCCCCGGGUGCAAGCCCCUUAGUUCUGAGCUCCGGGCUUACGAAAGGCGAAAGGCGCUGUUCUCCAUGGAGAUACAACGGUCACGCCACCCAUCUCGUACACUGUGUGAAGCCAGCCGCUAAUACGUAGGACUGCUUCCUCUUGGGGGAGGGGGUGGGGGGCACGCUAUAGCUGCUCGACCUUGGACCAUUAGCCAUCUGAGGUUUGGAUGUGUGGGUCCAGCAAUGACUGUGUUGUGACAAGCACACCCGAGGCCAGGCUUUGAGCACACUAGGGGAAGUGUGCGGAAGUUUCAUUAACAGCUGGGGACUUGGUGUUUGGGAAAGGCAAAGUGAGACCUGCCAGAGUCGUACUGCUUUCUAACUUGCUCGGACCUCAUUGCAAAUCAAAGUUUCAAACCUUCUGAGCUCCCUACUCUUCUUACGGCACUGCUUCUGUGGAAUCCAAUGCCGCGCUGUUGCUGGGAUCUCAACUGUUCAGAGUUUGUAUCUAUG
ensembl:antisense Gm43691 predicted gene 43691